UCCUGCCGGACCUGACUGCUAUCGGAUUGAUACUAAGCCAUGCGAGUCUUUGCAGUAAUGCAAGGCAUACGGCUCAGUAACACGUAGUCAACCUACCCUAUGGACGAGAAUAAUCUCGGGAAACUGAGCAUAAUUCUUGAUAGAUCAUAAUGCCUGGAAUGGUUUAUGGUUAAAAUGAUUCGUCGCCAUAGGAUGGGACUGCGGCCUAUCAGCUUGUUGGUGAGGUAAUGGCCCACCAAGGCGAUUACAGGUACGGGCUCUGAGAGGAGAAGCCCGGAGAUGGGUACUGAGACACGGACCCAGGCCCUAUGGGGCGCAGCAGGCGAGAAAACUUUGCAAUGUGCGAAAGCACGACAAGGUUAAUCCGAGUGAUUUCUGCUAAAGAAAUCUUUUGCCAGUCAUAAAACCACUGGUGAAUAAGGGGUGGGCAAGUUCUGGUGUCAGCCGCCGCGGUAAAACCAGCACCUCAAGUGGUCAGGAUGAUUAUUGGGCCUAAAGCAUCCGUAGCCGGCUUUGUUAGUUUUCGGUUAAAUCCAUGUGCUCAACGCAUGGGCUGCCGAAAAUACUGCAUAGCUAGGGAGUGGGAGAGGUAGACGGUACUCAGUAGGAAGGGGUAAAAUCCUUUGAUCUAUUGAUGACCACCUGUGGCGAAGGCGGUCUACCAGAACACGUUCGACGGUGAGGGAUGAAAGCUGGGGGAGCAAACCGGAUUAGAUACCCGGGUAGUCCCAGCUGUAAACGAUGCAGACUCGAUGAUGCAUUGGCAUAAUAGCCAGUGCAGUGUCGCAGGGAAGCCGUUAAGUCUGCCGCCUGGGAAGUACGUACGCAAGUAUGAAACUUAAAGGAAUUGGCGGGGGAGCACCACAAGGGGUGAAGCCUGCGGUUCAAU
rnacentral:rRNA from 1 species